rnacentral:misc_RNA from 1 species
GAUGAAGAACGUAGCGAAAUGCGAUACGUAAUGUGAAUUGCAGAUUUCAGUGAAUCAUCGAAUCUUUGAACGCACAUUGCGCCCGCCAGUAUUCUGGCGGGCAUGCCUGUUCGAGCGUCAUUUCAACCAUCAAGCGCCUCGCUUGUGUUGGGGCCCUGCGGCUGCCGCAGGCUCCUAAAUCCAGUGGCGGGCUCGUCGUGGUACCGAGUGCAGUAAACAUCCUCGCUCAGGGAACCCGACGGGUGCCGGCCGUGAAACCCCCCCUCUUUAAGGUUGACCUCGGAUCAGGUAGGAAUACCCGCUGAACUUAAGCAUAUCAAUAAGCGGAGGGA